UGUUGGAAGUUAGAACAAUAACCAAAUCGAUUCAAAUUGCAACUUCAACCACCAAAAAACUAAUUUCUACCAAUGCAAACGUACAAAAUGAUUUUAUCUCCGAAUUAAAAAACUUCAAUUAUAUUAUAUGCAGAAAUCUCCAGUGUCAACGAUUUCAACCACAAAGAGCAGUUUAACUUCAAAAGCUACACCAAUGACAACAAAAGUAGGAAUACUUCCAAAUUUGUAUCAAAUAUGUUAUAUCAAUUGAUCAAUUUUAAUUUAAUUUAAUUAUGCAAUUUGCGUCAUUUGAAAAAAGUUGUCAUAGUUUGGUCAGAAGUGUAAUUUAAAAAAAAAAUAGAAUUCGUCAUCGGCCACCACUUUGUCGGUCACCAAAUCUGUUAAAAUUUCAACCACGACCAUUACAAAACCAACCACUGCUGCAGCAAAGGUCUAAAUAUUUUAUUUGAAAAUUUAUCCAUUAAAACCAGUCAAUUUAAUUAAAGAUGAUAACAAGUUCACCUGCACCAUCGGUUUCCACCACUAAAGGCGUUUCAACUUCAAGAGCUACACAAAUGACAACAAAAUUAAUUAAAAUCAUUACGACAACCAAAUCCACCACUCCAUUGAAACCAGUUGGCACAAAGCCACGUACAACUAGUACCAAAGCGCCCAAAGUUCUCCCAAACUGUCCCUCAACAUGUGAAAG